rnacentral:rRNA from 1 species
UACAGAGGUCUCGAGCGUUGUUCGGAUUCACUGGGUUUAAAGGGUGCGUAGGUGGGCAGGUAAGUCAGUGGUGAAAUCUCCGGGCUUAACCCGGAAACUGCCAUUGAUACUAUCUGUCUUGAAUAUCCUGGAGGUGAGCGGAAUAUGUCAUGUAGCGGUGAAAUGCUUAGAUAUGACAUAGAACACCCAUUGCGAAGGCAGCUCACUACGGGAUGAUUGACACUGAGGCACGAAAGCGUGGGGAUCAAACAGG